CUCCUGAACGGUGGGAAAGAAAAAAAAACAGCGCCCCCACUGUCCCCGCACCCCAUCUCUUCCACCUCCCGUCCCGAACUCCACCAUCCCACCUUCCCGCCGCCAGGAUCCAGCCAACGGCGAGUCGGCGACCACCACCAACCCACCUCCCCCGUCGCCAGGAUCCAGCCAUGAAUCCACCGCCCCGCUGUCGGGAUCCAGCCACCAAUCCACCUCCCUGCCGCCGGGAUCCCGCUGCUGCACAACCGCCACCAACGCAACCUCCCAUUGCCGGGAUCCUGCCGUCGCGCGACAGCCACCAACUCACCUCCCGCGUCGCCGGAAUUCACCCCUCAGCAGCCUUCCUCCUCUACUGCCGCGACCUUCCACCUCUGCCACUGCGGCCUUCUUCCCUCAUGUGCCUCCCUAGAUCGGCGACGCGAUGCACAUUCCCCCACUGGUGACCCUCCCCCUGAGUUCACUCUCUUCCCUCCAUCGCCGGCCUGAGAGCUACCCACGCCACCCCGCGCUGCCACCUUGCUCCUCCCGGUCGAUCUCCCGGAUCCGGCGCUCCUGUACAGAGCAGUGCUACCGCGCACCACACUAGUCAGCAUUAGCGCCCCUCUUCCUCCAUGCUGUUCCUGCCCUCUUCCUCCAUGCUGCUGCUGCCUUCGACUCUGCCCCCGCACUCCAUAGCCUCCGCAUUGAGCUGCCCUCUCCUUCAACUGGCAGUGCACACAAGCUGUUUGUGUAUAUGCCUCAAACAAAAAAGUGUGUUUUCUUUGUAAGAUUCUACCUUGGCUUAGUGCAUUCUCUCUCUUUGUUUACAGGAGAAGUUCAUAUACAGCGACAACAACAAAGUUCAUGUUGUCAGAAAAAUGAAGUCCAUAUGGAAGAUGAUGAUUGUUGUGUGUAUUUCAUGGACAAAUCAAUGCAGCGUCAUGGACUCAUCUUCUAUAGCACAUAAGUAGGCGUGCAUGCCAGAUUGGUUCCUUCCACUACCUAGCUGAUGUUGUUUGUACCUAGACUACCCACAGUGCCUGAUGAAGCUUCAAGACCGCAAAUAGACAAGCCCACGGAGAAACAACAUCCUUGUGUAUCUUGAGCUGCUGAAGCAGGACUUGAUGGAACAAGAUAUGGCGUCGGGAACACAGCAGGAUUAGCAAGUAAUUUCGAGAGUAAUCUUGUAUGCACCCUGGGCUCAGUUUGCGCCACGAUAAAUUGUUUUCAACAUGUAAUACAUUUUUUCGCCGCAUGCCAGGUGAGAUGGCGAACUGGGUGUGCUUUCUGUGUUUGUGUUGUGUGGGACCGUGGGAGAGUGAUUUUUCUUCAGAAGGUUCAGAGUUCUAUUGGGUUAAGGCAAACUUAGCUUAUUGUACAGUCUUGUUCAAACCGUGGUUUUUCUUCAGAAGGUUCAGAGUUCUAUUGGCUUA